AACUUUUGGGAACAAGGGCUUAAUUGUAAUAACAGCAAAAAUUCUUUUAAAAUAAAAGAAACCUGUUCUUCUUCUUCUUCUUGUCCUGAGAACCAGAAACCAGCGGACAGAAAAAAAAUUCCGAUCGGUAGAACUCCUUCGAUAGGGCUUGGUUGGACCUGAAAUUCGAAACGAAGCUUCUCAGGAUAAGGCUCUAUUGAUCCCACAAGAUAAGCACUUGGAUCUGCAGGUUGGAAGGCUGCAGUAGGAACUUGUAAUAGAACCUGGCGGUAGCUUAGGGUUCAGCCCUGUCGCAGGUUUGUUUUCUCACAGCAGAGAAAGGUUUUUGGUCUAAGAUUAAGGGUUGGAGUCGCCUACAAGGCAGCUUCCUUCGACCCAAACCUCUGAUUCAGUCGGUCACAGGACAGGGGUCAGCCAGCUUCUUGUUGAUGUCGGUUUUAACGCCCAGCAGAGAUGUAGAACAGUAACCAAUGAACAUAACAAGGUAAUAAAAGUGGGAGAUAAGAGGUAGAGAUGACAGGAAGAAGAAAAGAAAAGAGAAAGAUGAAGAAAGAAGUUCAAAGUAGGAGGGGGAACUACGCAAGGCUCGCAACAGCCACAGACUCAUCCAUUAAUUCCAACAUUCAAUUCUUUCAUUCAAAACUGAAAUUUCUCCAUGAGUACAUGUCCAAUAUAAAGGAAAAAUUGGACAAUUAAUGGCAACUUACUUGAAAAUAGAAACUAAUCUAUAUAGCAACUAAAUAAAAAUCAAAUCUAAAUUAAAAUACUAUCAAACUAAUUUCUAAACCAAAAAAAGGAAAGUAAAUAGUAAAAUUCUCAAAUCAAAGAGAUCCCUUCCAUCGCCCAACUGCAUCACCUUGGAAUUUCCAUAACCCCAAUAGGCCAUUCAUUAGAGUAGUUACAACUGUUCAAACCAUUGAAACUAGACACGGUAACUCCCCUAAAAUCAACUCUUGUCAAUAUGAACUCCACCCUUGGGAUACCCUGUGUAUCAGUCAACCUUAUUGUAUUCGGUUAGUCUGACCGAUCAACUCUUUAACACAGGUUCCUCAUUAUCGAUGAGCCUGAUUGUUCAGUUUGAUUAAUUAACUCCUUAACACAAGAUCUUCGUUUAUUGGUUAACCUGACCGAUCAACUCCUUAACACACCUCAUUUAUCGAUCAAUAGACCGAUGUCAAGUUGGUCAAUCCCUUAGUAUACAUGCUCGUUUUUAUUGUCAAUUAGACUAGUCGAAAAUAGGGUGCAAACAGUAUGAUGAAUGGGAUAGUCUUUAUCUUACAGUGAUGGGAUGGUUAGUUCAUUCCAUGGAAUCUUUUGUGAGUCAAAAUAUUGAGUCUUGCAUCAAGGCAUUGGAGACCUCAACUCUUGCAUCAAAGCAUGUGAAACUUCAACAAAUGGAAGACCUCAACUACUUUUUAUAUUUCUAUAUUUUCUAUUGUUUUAUUUUCCUCUGAGUUUGUGAUUGGUCCAUGUCAUAACUUGGAAGUCUAAAAGAUGGUUGUAGUCUCCUAGGUAAAAGGAUGUUGCCUUAUAUAUAGAGGACAAAUUAUAAGUUGUAAAAAAAGAUAGACACAAUAGAAUCUUCUUGUGAACCUUGAAGAGUUCCUCUUAUGAAACCAAGUUGAGUUUCACCCAUCAUUGAAGAGACUGGGCUUUCAAUCAGCCUAGAAGAGCUGAGCCUUCAACCUUGAGGAGUUAAAGUCACCCCCCACCAAAGAUUCAACCUAGAAGAGUUGAAUUUUUGAAGCUAUUAUAGAUCUGUUGCUCAUACCAUCAUCUGGUCAUACGGGUGAGCAUCCAACACUUGUCCCAUUUCCUACCAUUACAUGGGUAAAGAGGGGUAUAUUUGGAAGCAAAAGAGAUAGGUGUUGGAUGCUCAACUGUAUGACCAGGUGAUCGUACAAGCAACGGAUCCAAUCUCUUCCAAAUUCGGAUUGUGUAAGUCCAUUACCUUGACAGUCAUUUUACACCAUUUUUCACUCAAAAUCUCAACAAUUCCUCUUUCACAAAAGUUGUAGCCUCACCUCUUGUCUUUAAGACCCAAUAUGAAUCAUUCCAAACCGAUAUUGGAGCAGAGAGUUAUUCCCAAAUUAUUGGCCAUAGGUCAUUCUAUCAGAGAUUGGUUUUGUCUACAAAGCAAGUACUUUCCUGAUCCUUGAAUUCGAGUAAUCCUGUGAGGGAGAUUGCAUCACUAGGUUUAAAGUAUUGGUAUUGUGUAUCGUAUCGGUCCGGUGACUUUAAUUGAUGUAUCAUAUUGUAUUGGGGAUAUGCAAGAUACAUUAAAGAGACACAUGAAAAUACACUUUUGGAGCCAAAAGAAAAAAUAGUAUAAAUAAGCUAUAUAUAGCAUGUAUCAUGCAUAACAGUUAAACAGAGAUUAAUGUAUAAUGAUAUAAAUGCAUUCAAUUGAAAUUGUUAUAAAGGAUGAGGUUUCUUAUAUUAGUGAUAGUCUAAUGCCAUGAAGAGUAUCAGGGUGGUUCAAACUCAUAGCUAACUCAUGGGUGGACGGGUCUUCAAGAAGAGAAGCGACUAGGAUGAUGUUUUUAACAAAGGCAAAGGACUUGGUUUAUGGGAAAAAUAAUAAACAUGAAAAACUUUCAUUUUUCUGUGAAAUUUCUUGAACCAUAGUACCAAUCUUUGCAAAUGAUGAAGUUUGAUGCUAUGAGUGGGUUACUUUUACUUAAAACCAUUAAUUUAUUGUUAAAAGUAGGUAUAAAACACUGGUUCAAACACAAAGACCAAGUUGUUGAGAAAGCGACCUUUUUCUGUGAAUUCUCCUUCAAUCUUUGAUUUCAACUUGUUGAAUGAACCAAACUUAGGGUUUUAGGCACCCUUUGAAUCGUUUUUGAGUGUAGAUUAAAACCCCCAACUCAAAUUUAUGCAAAAAACUAAGUGAUGAGGGCUUUGGAGGACUCUCAGUUGGGAAGUUUUUUUUUUCCCUCUAGGUUCUGUAAGUUCCGUAUGGAGAACCACAUGGGCCUUUCAAGGGACGUAUCGAUAGUAUCGUCAUGUAUCACAUUUUAUUGUGUUAUUGGCUGAUACCAUGCGUUAUGGUGGGAUACUUUAAAGUUUAAAAAGAAAAAAGAUAUGUAUCGCAUUGUAUCGUAUCGAAAAGGCUUGAUUCUACUGUUCCAGUCCUUUUCUUGUAUUUUUUGGAAUCUGAUGAAGUGGAUCAUUCAUAUUAUAGAAGCAGGUAAAGAGAGAAUAUCUCUGAGGGAUUUGCAAAGAGUAGCAAUUGCUCAUGAUUUUACUUGGACGGACAAGGAGAUGAUGGACAUGAUCAAUUCCUUUGAUGGCGAUGGUGAUGGAAUGCUCAGUCUGGAUGAUUUCCGGAGGAUUGUUUUAAGAUGCAACAUGAUACAAGGCUGUGAAAAUGCUGCAAUGGGAUCAAAGUCAUGACAAGCUACUUGGACCAUGUUGAAAGGUGCAAUCAAAAGCCUAAUGUCAGUAAAAAUUUCAGAAAUUUCCUUCAGUGAAUGGUUUGAUACAGCUGAUCCAUGUGCCAAGAUGGUAAAGGUUGUUUGAGUAUGUGAAUCUGAUUAGAGAGUUUGUUACUAGCAGAUGCCAACACAAUUACUUCUUGUUAGGCAAACAUUAUUGGGUCCAUACCAAAAGGGGAAGUAGUUAAAGCUAAUCUAAAGUUUCAUAGAAUUGCAAGAAUUAGUUUAUGAUAGUGGAAUCUAGUGAUAUCUUCUUAAUUUAUGAAGCAUGCCCUUGGCGCUUCUUCUGAGCAGAAAAUUGACUGCUCAAUUUAAAGCUAAUCUAAAGUUUCAUAGUUCACCAA